rnacentral:tRNA from 1 species
UCCCUGGUGGUCUAAUGGUUAGGACUUAGUGGUUUCACUGCUGUGGGCUGGGUUCAAUUCCUGGUCGGGGAG